rnacentral:rRNA from 1 species
CCUACGGGUGGCAGCAGUGAGGAAUAUUGGUCAAUGGGCUUACGCCUGAACCAGCCAAGUCGCGUGAGGGAAGACUGCCCUAUGGGUUGUAAACCUCUUUUGUCAGGGAGCAAUUGGCGCUACGUGUAGCGUUAUCGAGAGUACCUGAAGAAAAAGCAUCGGCUAACUCCGUGCCAGCAGCCGCGGUAAUACGGAGGAUGCGAGCGUUAUCCGGAUUAAUUGGGUUUAAAGGGUGCGUAGGUGGUUAAUUAAGUCAGCGGUGAAAGUUUGUGGCUCAACCAUGGAAUUGCCGUUGAAACUGGUUGACUUGAGUUUGUAUGAGGCAGGCGGAAUGCGUGGUGUAGCGGUGAAAUGCAUAGAUAUCACACAGAACUCCGAUUGCGAAGGCAGCUUACUAAGCUAUAACUGACACUGAAGCACGAAAGCGUGGGGAUCGAACAGGAUUAGAUACCCUUGUAGUC